rnacentral:rRNA from 1 species
UACGUAGGGUGCGAGCGUUGUCCGGAAUUAUUGGGCGUAAAGGGCUCGUAGGCGGUUUGUCGCGUCGGGAGUGAAAACCAGGUGCUUAACACCUGGCUUGCUUUCGAUACGGGCAGACUAGAGGCAUGCAGGGGAGAACGGAAUUCCUGGUGUAGCGGUGAAAUGCGCAGAUAUCAGGAGGAAUACCGAUGGCGAAGGCAGGUCUCUGGGCUGACACUGACGCUCAUGCACGAAAGCGUGGGGAGCAAACAGG